rnacentral:rRNA from 1 species
AGUGAACGCUGGCGGUAGGCCUAACACAUGCAAGUCGAACGGCAGCACAGUAAGAGCUUGCUCUUACGGGUGGCGAGUGGCGGACGGGUGAGGAAUACAUCGGAAUCUACUUUUUCGUGGGGGAUAACGUAGGGAAACUUACGCUAAUACCGCAUACGACCUACGGGUGAAAGCAGGGGAUCUUCGGACCUUGCGCGAUUGAAUGAGCCGAUGUCGGAUUAGCUAGUUGGCGGGGUAAAGGCCCACCAAGGCGACGAUCCGUAGCUGGUCUGAGAGGAUGAUCAGCCACACUGGAACUGAGACACGGUCCAGACUCCUACGGGAGGCAGCAGUGGGGAAUAUGGGACAAUGGGCGCAAGCCUGAUCCAGCCAUACCGCGUGGUGAAGAAGGCCUUCGGGUUGUAAAGCCCUUUUGUUGGGAAAGAAAAGCAGCAGGUUAAUACCCCGCUGUUCUGACGGUACCCAAAGAAUAAGCACCGGCUAACUUCGUG